UACGUAGGUGACAAGCGUUGUCCGGAUUUACUGGGCGUAAAGAGCGCGCAGGCGGUCGAUCAAGUCGAGUGUGAAAGCCCCCGGCUCAACUGGGGAGGGUCAUUCGAUACUGAUCGACUCGAAGGCAGGAGAGGGUAGUGGAAUUCCCGGUGUAGUGGUGAAAUGCGUAGAUAUCGGGAGGAACACCAGUGGCGAAGGCGACUACCUGGCCUGUUCUUGACGCUGAGGCGCGAAGGCGUGGGGAGCGAACGGG
rnacentral:rRNA from 1 species